rnacentral:lncRNA from 10 species
ACUAGUCUCUAUAUUAAUUUACACAAUUAUUUCACAGAGAUUAAUAAAACAUCAGAUAAUAGAAUCAACCCAAAAGGCAACAGCAUUUUUCUUUCUACAAGGGAACAUGGCUUUCAAUGUACACAUCCUACGCUAAUGAAGAAACAAAAACUACUUUCAUCUCCCUAGCAAAAACAUAAACACAAACACCUGGAAAAUCAUGGUUUUUUUUAAAGGGGGCAAAGAAAGACAUUUCAGAGGUUCUCAAUGAGUGAAACCUCACGCACAAUAUGCUUUCCUAUUUGAAGAUUAUACACACAGACAUAUAUGAAAAGCUAUUAGAAACACUGCUUAUUGUUAAUUUAGGAUAAAUCUUGGUAUUACAUUUAGAAAUUGGAAUUUUACAUUUCAAGCAGAACAACUGUGAAAAUAUCAGGCAAAAUACUUUUUUUUUUUUAAGAUAUCAUUCAGCAAUGAAGACUUGAGUCAAUUGAAAUAUUGGAAGGCAGAAGACUGGCAUCUGGCACAAGCUCUGACCCAACAAGCCUCAUGAGGUUGGGCAUGCUGUGAAACCAUUCCACACCUGUAUCUUCAUUAGUCCAGUGAAAAGACGAAGCGGGCGGGCAUGGUGGCUCAUGCCUAUAAUCCCAACACUUUGGGAGGCCGAGGCAGGCAGAUCAUUUGAGGUCAGGAGUUCGAGACCAGCCUGGCCAAUCUGGUGAAAUCUCAUCUCUACUAAAAAUACAUAAUGGGGCAUAGUGGCACAUGCCUGCAGUCCCACUACUCAGGAGGCUCAAACAGAAGAAUUGCUUGAACUUGGGAAGUAGAAGUUGCCUUGAGCAAAGAUUGCGCCACUGCACUUCAGCCUGGGGGACAGAGCGAGACUCCAUCUCAAAAAAAAAAAGACAAAGCUGUGCUCUAUGUGGCCCUGUGUAGCACAAUCAUUUUAGGAUUCUCUGACUUUGAAGUUCCUGUUAGGCAAUAGGCUUUAUUUACAACUUAAUUUUUACAAUUCUACCCAAAAGUUGGCCAGUUAUUUGGUAGAAUUUUACAAGUACCAGUAAUUUGGUAGAAUUUUGGGCAGAAUUUUAUAAUUCUACCCAAAGGUUGGCCAGUAAUUUGCAUCUGGAUAGCUAAAAAGCUUUCAAUAGGGCUUUAUUCAACAAAUAGUGGGUACCUACUCUUCGUGGAUUGGAAAUGACUACAAAUUCUUUGAAGCUCCUUCCAUCAAAAGGUGGGGUUUAUUUCCCUCGAUUCUGGGCUAGCUUUCAAGUCAAAAGAAGAUCUUGUACUUUCUGUUCUCACCCUCUUCAAUCUCAGAUCUCAGCCUGGGCUGGCCAUGGGGAAAGGCCAUGUGGAGUAGAACUAAGGAAUUUCAGCCGACAGCCCCAGCCAACUUUGAGACACAUACAUGAGGCCAGUCAAGGUCAAUCAGCCUCCAACCAAUCUGCUCACUAACCACAAAGGUGUGUGGAGUCCCAACUGGCACCCAUGGAGCAGUGGUGGAUCACGCCAGCAGAGCUCUGCCCAGACUGCCAGAGCAUAGGAUUAUAAGCAAAUAAAGGGUGUUGCUAUAAGCCGUGAUUUGAGGUGGGUUUUUAUUUUUAUUUUUUUUUAAGCCAUGAUUUGAGAUGGGUUUUUAUUUUUAUUUUUUUUGAGACAGAGUCUCACUCUGUCGCCCAGGCUGGAGUGAAGUGGCACAAUCUCGGCUCACUGCAGCCUCUGCCUCCUGGGUUCAAGCAAUUCUCCCACCUCAGCCUCCCAAGUAGCUGGAAUUACGGGCGUGCACCACCACGCCCAGCUAAUUUUUUGUGUUUUUAGUAGAGACGGGGUUUCACCCUGUUGGCCAGGCUGGUCUCAAAUUCCUGACCUCAAGUGAUCCACCCGCUUCGGCUUCCCAAAGUGCUGGGAUUAUAGGCGUGAGCCACUGUGCCUGGCCAGGUUUUUAUUUUUUAUUUACUUAUUUAUUUUUUUGAGUUGGAGUCUCGCUCUGUUGCCCAGGCUGGAGUGCAAUGGCACUAUCUUGGCUCACUGCAGCCUCCACCUUGUAAGUUCAAGCGAUUCUCCCACCUCAGCCUCCCAAGUAGCUGGGAUUACAGGUGCUUGCCACCACAUCCAGCUAAUUUUUCUAUUUUUUAAUAGAGACAUGGUUUCACCAUGUUGACCAGGCUGGUCUUGACCUCCUGGACUCAAGUGAUCCGCCUGCCUCAGCCUCCCAAAGUGCUGGGAUUACAGGCAUGAGCCACUGCACCCCACCCUUGAGGUGGGUUUUUAGACAACAAUAGAGAGCUGACACACUACUCUGUGGCAGGAAUUGUGCCAGGUGAAGAAAAUACCCUGGAUACUAAGACAUAGCCCCUGUUCUGCAGAUGCUUAGAGUCUACUUAGGCAAACAGACAUGUAACAGGGGAAUUUCAAAGUAAAUGUCAUCAGUGCUCUAACGGGGCAUAGGGAGGACUUAAGGAUCCAUGUAAAUUUAGAGAAGAGGCAUCAAUCCUAGAACUGGGGAGCUGGUGAAGGCUUAGUUUCCACAUCUGAAAAAUGUGGACGUUAAUAUCUACCUUGCAAGGUUGCAUUGAGGGUUAAAGGAUAUCAUAUAUAUUAAAUGCACAGAGCCUGCCAUACAGUACAAAUGCACACCCACACAGAGGUGAUAGUAUUUCUCAAAUGUAUAUCAACAGUAUUACUGUUAGACAUUCUCUGUCACUCCAAAAUCCUAUUCUCUGACUAAAGCUACAAAUCAGAAAAGUUGGAUUACCAGAAAUAUAUAUAUAUAUAUAUAUAUAUAUAUAUAUGUCUAUAACAUAUUUAGCACGGUAGGUCCAUUCCACCAGUACCUAUACAUUACGAUAACCUAAUGAAAAGAAAUGGCUGUGGUACAAUUCUCAUAUUUUAUUUUGUUAAUGCAUGAUAAAAAAUUAACGUCAUCAUUCAGAUCCAUUAUUUGGAAU